AGUGAACGCUGGCGGUAGGCCUAACACAUGCAAGUCGAACGGCAGCACAGUAAGAGCUUGCUCUUACGGGUGGCGAGUGGCGGACGGGUGAGGAAUACAUCGGAAUCUACUUUUUCGUGGGGGAUAACGUAGGGAAACUUACGCUAAUACCGCAUACGACCUACGGGUGAAAGCAGGGGAUCUUCGGACCUUGCGCGAUUGAAUGGGCCGAUGUCGGAUUAGCUAGUUGGCGGGGUAAAGGCCCACCAAGGCGACGAUCCGUAGCUGGUCUGAGAGGAUGAUCAGCCACACUGGAACUGAGACACGGUCCAGACUCCUACGGGAGGCAGCAGUGGGGAAUAUUGGACAAUGGGCGCAAGCCUGAUCCAGCCAUACCGCGUGGGUGAAGAAGGCCUUCGGGUUGUAAAGCCCUUUUGUUGGGAAAGAAAAGCAGCAGGUUAAUACCCCGCUGUUCUGACGGUACCCAAAGAGUAAGCACCGGCUAACUUCGUG
rnacentral:rRNA from 1 species